AUUAGCCCACUCAUGAGCAGCGCAGUGGGAGCUACACUCCCUUCAGGAAGCCCCGCCGGAGCCUGCUGUUAGGAACAGGAAAGUGGGAAGACUGGGGGAAUCACAGCUAGAAGCUGUUCAAGUCUGAGGCCCGCUAGGCCACGAGGAGGUACCCUGUCUCAGAAAACAGCGGCUGAAGUAGAGAGAGAGACAGGCAUUCUGGGAUUGAGGAUUCUAAAACUGGAUUUUAUACUUUGGUGACCAAAUUUCAUUCUUCUAAGCAGCAGUAACUGGACCAAGAGGCAGCAGAUGACAGACUCACUGAAGGGAGGCCGUGUCUGCCUCUCCUAUCCCCAACCACAUCCGUCACCUACCCAUUUCUCUUGGAGCCUGUUCACUUCCUCCUCGUGGGCCACCUUCUGUCGCUCCAGAGCUGCCUGCCCCUCUUGUUCAGCUUGGGCCAGCUGCCUGGCUACUGCAUCCCGCUCCUGCUCUGCCCGGUUCCUCUCGGCAUCCAGUUCCAGCUUCAGGCACUUCACUUCCCCUAGGAUGGCAGGCAAGAUCACCCCUGAGCCUCUGCCGCAUGCCAUUUACCUGAUAAUACUCUCUCUGCCCGCCCACCUCGUGAGCAACUUCCAUCUCAGAGGCCCUGAGUCUGGUAGGAGAAAGCUCCCAUUGCCUUCCUGGCUGAUAACAUCACCAUGGAAAACAGCGUGCUCCACCCCAGUGGGCUCUCACCUUGAAUGACUUCCUUGGCUUGAGUAAUAGUUUGAAUCUGGAUCUCCAGUUGCCCCUUGGUGACCUCAAUCACAGAAUUUUGCUGUUGGGCUUCAAAGAGAUUGCUCUCCAGCUGUUCCUUGGCUGACCUGAGAUUUGGGAAUCAGGAAGAGUUCUAAGCCAUCAAGCCCCUUACCCUUUCUCAGGAGCGACUGGAGCAGUACAGGCUACAGGAAGUUAUGGGGCAACUGCACGUCUACAGCUCAUUGAGAAUUCAUACUCUUAGGACAGGGAGCUCUGCUUAGCCUUGCAAAGCUCCCUGUGCUUGCCUGAGCCAGUGUGGACCCUACCUGAGCCCCAGAACUUGUUCAGCGAGGUCAUGUCGGUCCCGCUCCACAGCCUGCAGGCGCACCUCAAGAGCUGCCCUCUCCCGGACGAGGGCCUCCUUCUCCUGGACUGCUCUAGCAAGUGUUUCUUCCUGUCGCUCUGCAUUCUGAUGCAGCUGCUCUAGCUGAGCUGCGGCUGCUUCUUGCUGGUGAUGCACCUGAGGAGAACGAGGAGCUACAGAGUGAGGCAGAGCCCAGGGCGGCUGCCAGCAGGUCAGGGCGAGGGGUCUUUGAAGAUUCUGGGCUCAGCACUUGACAUUGCUGACUCAGGAAUAACUGGUAUUUGUUUAUUUCCUUGAUCAGGAGGCCUAGGGCAAAAAGGAUGCUCUCCUAUGAGUGAGACUCUGCUGGGGACAGCAGGACCCAUAUAUACACCAGGAACCUGGUUAAUAUCUGAGAAGGGACUCUUAAGAAAGGGAUUAUGUUCAAGUAUUAGGACAAUGAAAGGUUCGGUAGGAAAAGCAAGACUGUCAUCAUUAACUUUCAUUGUCAGUUUGGUGAUUUAGAAUCACCUAGGAGGGGGUUGGAGAGAUGGCUCAGUGGUUAAGAGAACUGACUUCUCUUCCAGAGGACCUGGGUUCUAUUCCCAGCACCCACAUGGCAGCUCACAACUGUCUGUAACUCCAGAAAUAUAAGUGCAUGACCACCAUAGACUCACCCAGAGGUGUGUCUCUGAGGGCGUUAAUAGAAGGAAAACCAUCUGAAUAUAGAUGGCAUCAUCCCAUGGGCUGGAGUCUCAGAUUCAAUUAAAAGGGGGAAAAGCCCAGCAGACACUUCAAUUCCCCUUCUCUGCCUCCUGGUGGCUAAGAUGUAAGCAAGUAGCUGCCACAAACCCUGGCCACCAUAUAGACAUCAGCUGCCAUGCUUUCCCACUAGGGAGGGCCAUAUCCCCACAAACUCACAGUCAAAGAAAAAAAAAAAAAAACCAAAACCAACAAAACAAA